UCCCUCGUAGUAUAUAGGUCAGUACAUGCGUCUAUCAUGAUUGGGCAUCCUCGUCAUGUGCGCGGAAGCUGGGUUCGACUCCCAGCCGGGGAG